rnacentral:ncRNA from 2 species
UAUAAUAAUCCCGUUUCAGGUCUCUUGAUUUUUCAAGAUUAAAAGGAAAGUUGGUGCAUUAAGUAAUAAUAAAUGCCAACGCUGCCCCCGCAACGGUAAUUAAGUUAAAAAUCUAUCUUAUGUCACUGUUCUUAACAGAAUGGGAAGGCCUAGAUUCUGAAUUAAACAUCCACUCAUCAGCCCGGAGACCUGCCUGAAACAGGCCAGGAAA